GGAGUUAGCCGGUGCUUCUUCUGUGAGUGAUGUCCUUCCUGCCGGCUAUUAACCCGCAGGCCUUCUUCCUCACUGAAAGUGCUUUACAACCCGAAGGCCUUCUUCACACACGCGGCAUGGCUGGAUCAGGGUUGCCCCCAUUGUCCAAUAUUCCCCACUGCUGCCUCCCGUAGGAGUCUGGGCCGUGUCUCAGUCCCAGUGUGGCUGAUCAUCCUCUCAGACCAGCUACGGAUCGUCGCCUUGGUGAGCCGUUACCUCACCAACCAGCUAAUCCGACAUAGGCUCAUCCGAUAGCGCGAGGCCCGAAGGUCCCCCGCUUUCCCCCGUAGGGCGUAUGCGGUAUUAGCCUGGGUUUCCCCAGGUUAUCCCCCACUACCGGGCAGAUUCCUAUGCAUUACUCACCCGUCCGCCGCUCGCCACCAGGGAGCAAGCUCCCCGUGCUGCCGCUCGACUUGCAUGUGUAGCUGCCGCCAGCGUCAUCUGAGCCAUGAUACAACUACUGA
rnacentral:rRNA from 1 species